GACGAACGCUGGCGGCGUGCCUAAUACAUGCCAGUCGAGCGGACGAAUCGAAAGCUUGCUUUUGAUUCGUUAGCGGCGGACGGGUGAGUAACACGUGGGCAACCUGCCCUGUAGACGGGGAUAACACCGAGAAAUCGGUGCUAAUACCGGAUAACACGAAAUGUCGCAUGACGUUUCGUUGAAAGACGGCGCAAGCUGUCGCUACAGGAUGGGCCCGCGGCGCAUUAGCUAGUUGGUGAGGUAACGGCUCACCAAGGCGACGAUGCGUAGCCGACCUGAGAGGGUGAUCGGCCACACUGGGACUGAGACACGGCCCAGACUCCUACGGGAGGCAGCAGUAAGGAAUCUUCCGCAAUGGACGAAAGUCUGACGGAGCAACGCCGCGUGAGCGAAGAAGGCCUUCGGGUCGUAAAGCUCUGUUGUUAGGGAAGAACAAGUAACGCAGUAACUGGCGUUACCGUGACGGUACCUAACGAGAAAGCCACGGCUAACUACGUG
rnacentral:rRNA from 1 species